rnacentral:rRNA from 1 species
AGAGUUUGAUCAUGGCUCAGGACGAACGCUGGCGGCGUGCCUAACACAUGCAAGUCGAACGGAGAAUUUGAUAAGCUUGCUUAGAAAAAUUCUUAGUGGCGGACGGGUGAGUAACGCGUGGGUAACCUACCCAUAAAUCCGGGACAACCCUUGGAAACGAGGGCUAAUACCGGAUAAUCUUCAAGCUUGGCAUCAAGCUUGAAGGAAAGAUGGCCUCUGUAUAUGCUAUCGAUUAUGGAUGGACCCGCGUCUGAUUAGCUAGUUGGUGGGGUAAAGGCCUACCAAGGCGACGAUCAGUAGCCGGCCUGAGAGGGUGAACGGCCACACUGGGAUUGAGACACGGCCCAGACUCCUACGGGAGGCAGCAGUGGGGAAUCUUCCGCAAUGGACGAAAGUCUGACGGAGCAACGCCGCGUGUAUGAUGAAGGUCUUCGGAUUGUAAAGUACUGUCUUUGGGGAAGAACGGUCGAUUUGAGAAUAUUGAGUCGACAUGACGGUACCCAAGGAGGAAGCCCCGGCUAACUACGUGCCAGCAGCCGCGGUAAUACGUAGGGGGCAAGCGUUGUCCGGAAUUAUUGGGCGUAAAGGGUUCGCAGGCGGUCUUUUAAGUCAGAUGUGAAAGGCUACGGCUCAACCGUGGUAAGCAUUUGAAACUGAAAGACUUGAGUUAAGGAGAGGAAAGUGGAAUUCCUAGUGUAGCGGUGAAAUGCGUAGAUAUUAGGAGGAAUACCAGUGGCGAAGGCGACUUUCUGGACUUAUACUGACGCUGAGGAACGAAAGCGUGGGGAGCAAACAGGAUUAGAUACCCUGGUAGUCCACGCCGUAAACGAUGAGUGCUAGGUGUUGGGGGUCAAACCUCGGUGCCGCAGCUAACGCAUUAAGCACUCCGCCUGGGGAGUACGUACGCAAGUAUGAAACUC